rnacentral:miRNA from 1 species
AAGAUCAAAGAAACGAUUAAGG